rnacentral:rRNA from 1 species
CCUACGGGGAGCUGCAGUGGGGAAUAUUGCACAAUGGGGGAAACCCUGAUGCAGCGACGCCGCGUGAGUGAAGAAGUAUCUCGGUACGUAAAGCUCUAUCAGCAGGAAAGAAAAGGACGGUACCUGACUAAGAAGCCCCGGCUAACUACGUGCCAGCAGCCGCGGAAAUACGUAGGGGGGAAGCGUUAUCCGGAUUUACUGGGGGUAAAGGGGGCGUAGACGGCGCUGCAAGUCCGGAGUGAAAGCCCAUGGCUUAACCAUGGUACUGCUCUGGAAACUGUAGAGCUUGAGUGCGGGAGGGGCAGGCGGAAUGCCUAGUGUAGCGGUGAAAUGCGUAGAUAUUACGAGGAACGCCGGCGGCGAAGGCGGCCUGCUGGACCGUAACUGACGUUGAGGCUCGAAAGCGUGGGGAGCAAACAGGAUUAGAUACCCGAGUAGUC